UCGACGUUUUUAUAUGUCAAAAAUGAUCGGAAGAGUUUCGCGUCAGUCACCUCCUCUUAACGACGAGCAACGUAAGCAAUUGCAGUUGGAGAUUUUCAUUAACGCUGUCCUAUUUUGCACCACAGUUUUCGGAAUACGACUAGUGAAAUGGUUUACAAACUGAUCAUUAAAGAUAACUUUGUUACGGAGAUGUGUCAGCGCCUUGGGUUUUCAACAAAUUGUAAUAGUUGACUAAUAAAUGCGCCAUAAUUAGUUC